CAGAGGCUAAACAAAAAACAAACAAAACAGGAAGCACAUGUUGUAGCCAGCAGUGUAAUUCAGUUUCAAAAUGUAGAGCAUAUUUGUUCCCAAAGUGACACAGAACAAUAAUAGCAGUGCCAGAAUCCAUUAACUUUUAUCAUGUUGCGCAAAUUUGUUCCACGGUGUCAGACUCUAGAAACCCCUGAAGCAUUUGAACUCAAACAGAACAAAGCAAACUUUGCACGAGAAUGAGUGCAAAAGCACCGAGCGCUUGCUAGACAUGUUGAAUCACUUUAUCAAACUGACUGCAGACUAGAUGGUCAAUCAGAGAAGUCAAUCAGCAGCUGGAUGAGCCAACUGACACACCUAAUCAAGAAAACCGCUGCAUGGUUCUAUGGCUUGGGGAGUGCCCCUGCCUCUGGUGACAUGGAGGUUGUUGAGUGCUGCCAGUCCAUGUGUAGUCUGUGUGUUGUGCAACAGUGCCCUCCAAUGGAGCCGUGGUGGCGCUAUUUCAAAAGAUUACCCAAGAGAAAAUAUCCAUCGACUGCUUAGAGUUUUAUGACACUUCAAUCAAUUUUUCCAUCUCUGGGGCGCAGUGAAAAUGGCAUUCAUACGGGGCCCUUUGUACCUGUCACAUGCUAUAUAUCUGGCAAUUCAUCUUUCUGUUUGAUAAUUCAAACGUGCUGUACUGUGUCUCUUAUGUGAUUACAAUAAACAGGCUUUUGAGGAGCCCUGUGAUGCUGCU
rnacentral:lncRNA from 1 species